CAGCUCAAAUUUGAAAUCUGGCCCUUUCGGGGUCCGAGUUGUAAUUUGUAGAGAGUGUUUCGGGCGAGNCCACGGUCUAAGUUCAUUGGAACAUGGCGUCAUAGAGGGUGAGAAUCCCGUAUGUGACUGUGGAUCGAGCCCAUGUGAAGCCUCUUCGACGAGUCGAGUUGUUUGGAAUGCAGCUCAAAAUGGGUGGUAAAUUUCAUCUAAAGCUAAAUACUGGCUGGAGACCGAUAGCGCACAAGUAGAGUGAUCGAAAGAUGAAAAGCACUUUGGAAAGAGAGUCAAACAGUACGUGAAAUUGUUGAAAGGGAAGCGCUUGCAACCAGACCUGUCCGUAGGUGAUCAGCCGCUGUUCUCAGUGGUGCACUCGCUCUGCGAUCAGGCCAGCAUCGGUUCGGGCGGUCGGAUAAAGGCCUUGGGAAUGUAGCUUCCUUCGGGGAGUCUUAUAGCCCUCGGUGCAAUGCGGCCAGCUGGGACCGAGGACCGCGCUUCGGCUAGGAUGCUGGCGUAAUGGUUGUAAGCGACC
rnacentral:rRNA from 1 species